rnacentral:lncRNA from 1 species
CUUACAUACUGCAUUAUGAUUCCCUUACUGACUGCAAAGUGAAGGCCUCCUAGUCCUAGGGCAUGACUCACCAUUUUUCAAUUAUAAUGAAGAAAGGUCUUGUUUGUUGCAGGCAUGUUUCAAGCAGUUGGCUGGUGGGACUUUGAGAGAUGCUGCCGCCCGUGAUGUGGUGGAGUUAUCAUGAUCAACCACUCCGUUCGGAUUUCAACCAGUGGCCAUGAGCUUUGUCUGAUAGACCACAGCAGGAGUUGGAUUUUUAAAAAGGAGCAAACCAGGUAAAUGAAAAUCAUCAAAUCUGCAACCUGGGGAUGGUUCAAUGGAUAAGAAAGCUUGCAGUGGGAACAAGAGGACCUGGAUUCAAAUUGCCAGCACCCACUAUACCACUCCCACUAUUCCUUCUACACAGUUCUUUUAAGAGACAAGCAACACACAGGCCCGUAACCAAGGU